GACGAACGCUGGCGGCGUGCCUAAUACAUGCAAGUCGAACGAGUGGCGGACGGGUGAGUAAUGUCUGGGAAAUUGCCUGAUGGAGGGGGAUAACUACUGGAAACGGUAGCUAAUACCGCAUACCAUCGGAUGUGCCAAGAUGGGAUUGGCUAGUAGGUGGGGGAAAGGCGCACCUAGGCGACGAUCCCUAGCUGGUCUGAGAGGAGGACCGGCCACACUGGAACUGAGACACGGUCCAGACUCCUACGGGAGGCAGCAGUGGGGAAUAUUGCACAAUGGGCGAAAGCCUGAUGCAGCCAUGCCGCGUGUAUGAAGAAGGCCUUCGGGUUGUAAAGUACUUUCAGCGGGGAGGCGUUACCCGCAGAAGAAGCACCGGCUAACUCCGUGCCAGCAGCCGCGGUAAUUC
rnacentral:rRNA from 1 species